GACGAACGCUGGCGGCGUGCUUAACACAUGCAAGUCGAACGGAAAGGCCCUGCUUUUGUGGGGUGCUCGAGUGGCGAACGGGUGAGUAACACGUGAGUAACCUGCCCUUGACUUUGGGAUAACUUCAGGAAACUGGGGCUAAUACCGGAUAGGCGCUCCUGCUGCAUGGUGGGGGUUGGAAAGUUUCGGCGGUUGGGGAUGGACUCGCGGCUUAUCAGCUUGUUGGUGGGGUAGUGGCUUACCAAGGCUUUGACGGGUAGCCGGCCUGAGAGGGUGACCGGCCACAUUGGGACUGAGUAACGGCCCAGACCCCUACGGGAGGCAGCAGGGGGGAAUAUUGCACAAGGGGCGGAAGCCUGAUGCAGCAACGCCGCGUGCGGGAUGACGGCCUUCGGGUUGUAAACCGCUUUCGCCUGUGACGAAGCGUGAGUGACGGUAAUGGGUAAAGAAGCACCGGCUAACUACGUG
rnacentral:rRNA from 1 species